GGGGGGAGUGUAAUGGGGGUGGUUCGGCCCCUGGAGCCCAGCUGGCAUCCGGCGUGUUGGCCUGGGGAGGGGCCGCUCUGCUCACUGGGCAGCGAUAUCUGUGGGUUCGGAUCCGGGCAGACUCGGUCCUCCACUGAGCUACCGUUUCUUGGGCACCUACUAUGUGCUGGGAACUUUACAUGGAUUUUCUAUUUAAACUUCACAGUGGUCAGUUUCACAGCCCCAUUUCACAGACGGAGGAACUAAGGCAGACGGACGUGUGCAGGGUCCUGGGCUGGAGCAGAGAGGGCGGGCGAUGAACAUCUUACGGGUGUGAAAGGAGGCUCAGAGACACGUAGGUCUGGAACUGGACCCAAGGCUGGAACUGGAGCUGGAACUGGAAGCCAGGCCUGUUACCUCCAAUUUCCUGCUAUUUCUGCUCCCUCUUUGCUGCCAUCUGGUGAACCUGAGACUCAGUUUCCCCAUCCGUGAAAUGGGCCCUGAGAGCAGGCGCUGGGAGAAGACGAGAUUCGAGGGGUCCGGGCAACAGAGUUGACUACCCACAGCCAGGAGUGGGGGCACCUAGGGCCAGCUCCCUGCCCCAGGUCACACGGGGAGAAGCACGGAGUCCAGACAGGGACUGCACAUGCAGGGAGGGGGUUGCACAGCAGCUCCGCACCCAGGACCAAGGGCUCAGCGCCUUUUCGGAGGAGAAACGGUGUCCCGGGAGCUGCCUAGGCGACCUCAGCUGUGGGCGCGGUUGCUAUAGCAGCCGGGGGAGUGGAAAACAGGCCCUCUGGUCAUCUGAUCUGGCCCCCGUGGAUCUGGCUUCACAGGCAUCUUCCCACAUCAGCGGCGGCCCUGCGUCUGGGCCCUGGAUCAAAGGCUCCACAAGGAGCCCCCUUGACCCUUCCACAGCGUGUCAUGCUGUCACUGGCACCAGCCCCACCUCUUCCCUGCAGGUGUCGCUUGCCGUCUGGAUCAGCAGUGAGCAGAGGUCCCUGAGCAGGGCCUGUGCCCCAGACAGCCCCCUUCCGGGCUGCCUGAGACCCCACCUCGGGGCCUGCCGUGGCUUCCUUCCAAGUGGCAGCUCGUGGAGGACAAGAGGCUUUUCAUUUCGGCAAACCCGGGUUAGAGACCUGAUUGUCACUCCUCGUGGGCCUGGCUGGCAGGGGUCCAGUUUCUUUCCAGAGAAAUCAGACUGAGCCCACCGAGAGCGCCCCAGGUUAAACAGCGACUAUAGAGAAGACCUCCAUGGUGGCGGGGCGUGUGGAUCAGGAGAAACUGACAACUGAGACAGAAGUGGGCUCCUGGCCUCCCUCACCCAAGCUGCUUACACCAAGGGAGACGCACCAGACAAUCCCACUGGGGAAGGCUGCAUCCCCAUCACGCUCUGAGUCAUUAACGCGGCAGGAGAGCAACGGAAGAGAGAGCGCAGCUGGGGGCGCACCUGCCUGGGGGUUGGCCGCGUGGUCUCCGUCACCUGGGGCUUCGGGACCUGUUUAACCCGCUCAGCAUGAGAGGACCUGGGUGGGUGGGGGAGCCUGGUGAGGAGAGGGGGACCUGGAAUCAGGGGCUCCCAGGGACCCACGUGUCACUGCUGAGAGGAUCUUGCAGGGCAUCGGCUCGUGCCCUCCCUCUGCAGGCCCUGGAAGGGGAGGGGAGGGUCUGGAAUCUUCCUUCUCCCACAGCCAGGAUUUUCAGAUCUGUCAGUCCCUCUCAGGGCAUCUGCGACACACAGGAUCUUGGAAUCAGAGCCUGUUUCAUAGACUCCAAGACGCUUUCAUAAAAUCC
rnacentral:lncRNA from 1 species